UGGGAAGCUGUUGCUCCUGAGGAGAGAGCUGCUUCCUUUCACAGUGUCAAGCUGUCAGGAGCCCAUUCUGGCCACGAGGGUAGAAUCAAUCUGAGCAGUCACCACAAGACUAAAGUCGUCCUACUCCUGUCCGUUGCAGUUCUUUGAGGUGCGUCAAAGAAGAGGUCAAGGCAGGGGGGGGAUCAGAGCAGAGUGGCCUCCCAGGGAACUCCCAGUUCACCCCCACCAUCAUACACAACAACACACAAUUGAGCUGUUUGCCACGAUCUGGUCAAUUUGCUGUCCUGUUGUUGAAAAACGAGGUGGAGGAAACAACUAUUUAUGCAGGCAAAAGGCUACAUCCACAAGGGGAAAACAAAGCAUUUGCCCUCUGCUAACCUGCCGGAAAGAAGACAUAUUCCUGCUAUGCUCUAAGUGGAGCCGUUCUACUCUGCCAUGAACUGAGCUAAGUCUUUAUUACAGGUGGUUCAUAAAGGAAACUCGGCAGGGAGAAGUUUGUACUGGGAGAGAAGGUGGAGCACCGUAUCUAUGCAUCUCUUAGUCUCUGUGCCCAGUAAACUGCAUCCUGGCUGCAAGGCUCAAAGGGCAGGGGUGGAACACAGGAAAGGGGAAAUUGAAGAGCAGAAAGUUACCUACUCUUGCUGUUUCCCUUCAUCUGUAUGAAGAUUAGAAGUGUAAAAUGAAUUAA